rnacentral:rRNA from 11 species
UGCGUACAAGCAGUGGGAGCAGACUUUGUUCUGUGACUGCGUACCUUUUGUAUAAUGGGUCAGCGAGUUAGUCUGGCAGGCAAGCUUAAGCCGUGAGGUGUAGGCGGAGCGAAAGCGAGUCUUAAUAGGGCGCAUAGUCUGUCGGAUUAGACCCGAAACCGAGUGAUCUAGCCAUGAGCAGGUUGAAGGUGCGGUAACAC